rnacentral:rRNA from 1 species
CCUACGGGAGGCAGCAGUGGGGAAUAUUGCACAAUGGGCGCAAGCCUGAUGCAGCGACGCCGCGUGAGGGAUGACGGCCUUCGGGUUGUAAACCUCUUUCAGUAGGGAAGAAGCGGAAGUGACGGUACCUGCAGAAGAAGCGCCGGCUAACUACGUGCCAGCAGCCGCGGUAAUACGUAGGGCGCAAGCGUUAUCCGGAAUUAUUGGGCGUAAAGAGCUCGUAGGCGGUUUGUCGCGUCUGCCGUGAAAGUCCGGGGCUCAACUCCGGAUCUGCGGUGGGUACGGGCAGACUAGAGUGAUGUAGGGGAGACUGGAAUUCCUGGUGUAGCGGUGAAAUGCGCAGAUAUCAGGAGGAACACCGAUGGCGAAGGCAGGUCUCUGGGCAUUAACUGACGCUGAGGAGCGAAAGCAUGGGGAGCGAACAGGAUUAGAUACCCUGGUAGUCCAUGCCGUAAACGUUGGGCACUAGGUGUGGGGGACAUUCCACGUUUUCCGCGCCGUAGCUAACGCAUUAAGUGCCCGCCUGGGGAGACGCGCAGNAACACAAGAAGUAGAGCGNGAGAGNGCGAGACGACGACGAGGGAGAGG